rnacentral:rRNA from 1 species
CCAAUAGCGUAUAUUAAAGUUGUUGCAGUUAAAAAGCUCGUAGUUGAAUUUCGGGAUCAAUUUAUCGGUCGUGCCAAUGGUAUGAACUGGUACAAUUGGUUUCUUCCUUCUGAUAAAGCGUGAUGCCAUUAACUUGGUGUUGCCGGGGAAUCAGAACUGUUACUUUGAAAAAAUUAGAGUGUUUAAAGCAGGCUUAGGCUUGAAUACAUU